UACAGAGGUCCCAAGCGUUGUUCGGAUUCACUGGGCGUAAAGGGUGCGUAGGCGGUCGGGUAAGUCUGAUGUGAAAUCUCACAGCUUAACUGUGAAACUGCAUUGGAUACUAUCCGGCUAGAGGAAUGGAGGGGAGACUGGAAUACUUGGUGUAGCAGUGAAAUGCGUAGAUAUCGGGAGGAACACCAGUGGCGAAGGCGAGUCUCUGGGAUGAUGCUGACGCUGAGGCGCGAAAGCCAGGGGAGCAAACGGG
rnacentral:rRNA from 1 species